AUUGCCUCAGUAACGGCGAGUGAAGCGGCAAAAGCUCAAAUUUGAAAUCUAGCACUUUCAGUGUUCGAGUUGUACAUUGAAGAAGGUAACUUUGGUUUUGGCUCUUGUCUAUGUUCCUUGGAACAGGACGUCACAGAGGGUGAGAAUCCCGUGCGAUGAGAUGCCCAAUUCCAUGUAAAGUGCUUUCGAAGAGUCGAGUUGUUUGGGAAUGCAGCUCUAAGUGGGUGGUAAAUUCCAUCUAAAGCUAAAUAUUGGCGAGAGACCGAUAGCGAACAAGUACAGUGAUGGAAAGAUGAAAAGAACUUUGAAAAGAGAGUGAAAAAGUACGUGAAAUUGUUGAAAGGGAAGGGCUUGAGAUCAGACUUGGUAUUUUGCGUUCCCUUCCUUUUUGGUUGGGUUCCUCGCAGUUUACUGGGCCAGCAUCGGUUUGGAUGGUAGGAUAAUGACAUUGGAAUGUAGCUUUACUUCGGUGAAGUGUUAUAGACUUUGUUGAUACUGCCUAUCUAGACCGAGGACUGCGUCUUUGACUAGGAUGCUGGCGUAAUGAUCUUAAGCCGCCCGUCUUGAA
rnacentral:rRNA from 1 species